CUCACCAUAAUAUAAGUAACACAUUCAAAUUUAGUAAUUUAUUUUCCAGGUGGAAACCAGGCUUCUUGGAAGACUUCACACUAUGCCAAAUGGUCUGAUUUCACCAUGGAGAGCCCAUUGUGUUCCACGAAGCAGGCAAAACUCGGAGAGACAACAAAGACUUGAUCUACAGAAGAGAAGGCAAUAAAGAGCCAGCCCUCUCCAGAGGAAUGUUAUACUAUUAAUUGCCAAUUUGCAUAUGUGUGCAGCUGCUGUUUUGGCUCUGAACUCAAUCCGAUAAGCUAGCUGGAGGUAUCGCGGAGCACUUGGCAGCUUUCCUAUUUGAAAAGAAAGCCUCUCCCACCACAGAACAGCUGAUCGUCUAUCAGCGAUAGACCCUGAUGGCGUGAAUUACAAUUACACUACUUUUCACACUAAAUCUGGGUGAUAGCUACUUGGAAAGAAGUUUCAUCAUUUUUUACCACAAACUGGAAAAAGAAUUACAUGGUCAUGCUGUGCUUUUAAAGGCAGUUUGGUUCACUUUGUCUGUUUAACACCUAAUUCCAAGAAGUCCAUAGGCAUCCAGAGAGCUGAAUGGCGCAUAAUGAAUUCACUGUUUAGAUGGAAGAUUUUUAAAAUCUACCUCAAAUUACAUUUAUUAACAAGGCGACCAGGAAGUGUUAAAGUUGUUAGAUGCUUCAUUUAUUAAAUAAUUUGUGGGUAUUUUCAGUUGUCAUAUCUAGAGUCAUGGGGUUUGCUUAUUUUUUUUUUUUAAUUAGCAAUCCAAAACAAUGCUUCUGCGAUUUAACAAUUCGUCACAUAAUCUUGGGCUCAUCCGUUCAGCUGUUAAUAUUAGAUAAUUCGAAUAGUUAUUUUGGUCUGUUUAUAAAUGAUUUGGGUUGCAUUGUGCUGUGAGGAUCACGGUGGCGGCCCAGGCCGAUUCUGAGCUUUCCUGUCUUGCCAAGGACAGCGGAGCACCUCCCAGAGAACGAUCUGGUGUGUUGAGUUUGGUGAACCAGGGCGAGGGGCAGGGACACUUGACUUCUCAUUGUUUAGUUGACUUCAUUAUCAAUGUACAUUUCCUUUCGCUUUGGGAAGCUGCCAGAGACUCUCGCUGGAGGAGUGUAUUUUAUUAGACCCCGACAUCUCUCUCAUUUUCUGUGACUUUAGAAAGAACGGACUUUCCCUCCCGCAAUAACCCACCAACCUCAGAAUCCCUGAUAGUCCCGAGGCCCUCUUUCCUUAGUCCCCCUCUGUUCUCCUCCCUCCCACCUCGACAUUUAAAGUUUAACCCACCUCAAGCAGCGGAAGUGGAGCGCACUGAUCCUGACGUAGUUAACCCAAGAGAAAAAUAGAUCUGGUUUUUCCUUUUUUAGUCGCUAGCUUUAUUAGAUUUCUCACUCUCACAGAUUAUCCGAAGACUACCCAUUGAUUGAUCGCCCGUAGAGCUGCAUUUGGUGUAAAGAAAAAACUCACAGCUUUAUUGGCUCCCAGGAGACAAAACAAACAGAACAAGAUAUUCAUAUUAAUGCAAACAAUGCAACAAAUGAAGGGAAGAAUCGCCGUGCAGAGAAGCCUGGCAGCGACCAGGCUGCAAGGGCCCCGGGCACCUCCGCUCCAGCCCAGGUCCUUAGCCUCUGAGCUUCACCCAAAGAAGGGCAGCCGGCCUAAAGAAGGCCUCCAGCUCAGGCCUCAGGAAGGCCUACCCGGCCCUCAAGCCCGCACUCACAAACUGGAUAGGACCUUGGGCCUUCUCCUUGGCUUUCUGUUCUUCACAGACCCAGUCCCUCGGCCUCAGCUUUGCUUUCCAGCGGGGGGGUCAGAAGUGAGAGUCAAGAAGGCUCCUCCGGUGUGUCCCUCCCAACCACCUGAGGCAGCAGGAAAGAGACAAGAAAGAUGCUCAGAACUCUGAAAGGAAGGAGAGAGGUAGGCUCUCAAAGCUCACCUUCCUGUGUAGGAGAUGAUUUAAACUCUUACGGAAACAACACAGAGCUUUGUUUAAGCACAUCUGUAUCGGAGAGGUCCGGGCUGUCUGGUGAACGGGAGGCAAAAUCAAAAUUCCAGAUUGCACACCUAUUUCCCCAGACCCUAGGGGAAGACUCUCUUAAGAGUGGAAUGGUUAUAGU